rnacentral:rRNA from 1 species
UACAGAGGGUGCGAGCGUUGUCCGGAAUCACUGGGCGUAAAGGGCGCGUAGGUGGCCUGUGGAAGUCUGCGGUGAAAGCCCGGCGCUCAACGCCGGGUCGGCCGUGGAUACUCUCGGGCUUGAGCUUACUAGAGGCAGAUGGAAUUCCGGGUGUAGCGGUGGAAUGCGUAGAGAUCCGGAAGAACACCGGUGGCGAAGGCGGUCUGCUGGGGUAAUGCUGACACUGAUGCGCGACAGCGUGGGGAGCAAACAGG